UACGGGGGGUGCGAGCGUUGUCCGGGAUCACUGGGCGUAAAGGGCGCGUAGGUGGUUUGAUAAGGGUGUGGUGAAAGUCCGGGGCUCAACCCCGGAUCUGCCGUGCCGACUGUCAAACUCGAGGACUGUAGAGGCAGACGGAAUUCCGGGUGUAGCGGUGGAAUGCGUAGAGAUCCGGAGGAAGACCGGUGGCGAAGGCGGUCUGCUGGGCAGUUUCUGACACUGAGGCGCGACAGCGUGGGGAGCAAACAGG
rnacentral:rRNA from 1 species